ACAAGAUGGCCAAGUACUUUCCAGCUUUGUUAUCACAGAAUUAAAUUCUGCCUCGAGUUGUGGCUGUCUUGCUUUGUUCCAGCGAGUAAGUCUGAUGGAUGAAAUUUCCAUCUGAGCACAACUUUGUGGUUGGGGCAGCUUUACUUCUAAACUGGCUGUAUUCAAGGGCAACAUCAUCAACAAGGAAUGUGGCACAGUACUUGGAAGAUGCUUCAGGAACAUAAGAAAUGAAAUUUGGGGAGAAGGUUCCUUUCAUAGGCAACGCAACAAGACUUUUGCGACUCAACCUAAGAUCACUGGAGAGAGAGAGAGAGCAAAUCUAGUGUGGCAGCAUCAUCAUAUCCCUCUCCACACUGCACGGACCAAGGACCCUGAGAUUCUGACCAAAGUCAUCGGCAUGAUGGAGAACAGUUGGUCUAGAUGGAUGGACAGGAGCAGUAAUGAAGAAGCCUUCUCUCUUCAAAGUGGCUAUGAAUGGCUGAUACAGAUAUGGAUGAACAAAAGCAUCAGCAAACAAGGCCUGCAGAGGGCUGAGAAUGACCAAUAAUCAAUAAUUGACUAACUGGCCCUGUGUCCUUCUCUGACUCUCACCUCAGGGCUUUAUUCCAUGCAGCCUCAGACACCUGGAACCCCUUCCCUAACCCAGACAGAUAAACCUCCACUCUCUCUCCCCUUCCAAAUUCUUCCUUAAAAUGGGUCUCUUCCCUAUGAUCUGCAGUCCCUGCACAGAGAAGUGGCAGCUAGUCCGAUGAUCGAUCAGCAAAACCCUACACUC